AUUGAACGCUGGCGGCAGGCCUAACACAUGCAAGUCGAACGAGUGGCGGACGGGUGAGUAAUGUCUGGGAAACUGCCUGAUGGAGGGGGAUAACUACUGGAAACGGUAGCUAAUACCGCCUACCAUCAGCUGUGCCCAGAUGGGAUUAGCUAGUAGGUGGGGUAACGGCUCACCUAGGCGACGCUCCCUAGCUGGUCUGAGAGGAUGACCAGACACACUGGAACUGAGACAAGGUCCAUACUCCGACGGGAGGCAGCAGUGGGGAAGAUGGAACAAUGGGCGCAAGCCUGAUGCAGCCAUGCCGCGGGUAUGAAGAAGGCCUUCGGGUUGUAAAGUACUUUCAGCGGGGAGGCGUUACCCGCAGAAGAAGCACGGGCUAACUCCGUGCCAGCAGCCGCGGGAAUAC
rnacentral:rRNA from 1 species